GGUCUUGUAGUUUAUAAAAAUAUUAAGUUGCAGCCUUAAAGUAGAGGUUUCUCCAGGACUU
rnacentral:tRNA from 1 species